AUUGUGGUAGCCUAAUGAGGGCGCUGUUUUGAAGUGACAGAUGUAACUAAGUUUCACAAUG
rnacentral:tRNA from 1 species